UUAAAGCGGCAGCGCGGCCGGAGGUGGCUCCCUCCCGCCGCCGGCUGCGUCGCGCAGCUUCUGGGCGGGGGAUCCCGACCGGCGCCGGCCCCGGUGCGUGGAGGCUCCCGAGAGCCACCCCUGGCUCCCCGGCUCUCAGCCGGGCCCCAAGACUCCACAUCAACCCAUUUCAAGGAAUCGGCGAUGUCCCACCAAAAACCUGGAAGUUCACAGGCGAUGGAAAAGCCGCAUUGAAUCCCAAGCGUCCCGGGAAGUUUGCAAAAUGAAGAAAUUGGGAAUCACCCUCUAAUAAUGCACCUAAAAUGACAUUUCUGUGGGAGGGCUCUGCUGUCUCCACUGCCAGGCUGGUGCUACAGGUCCCUCUUGUGUUGAAUGUUGACAUUGUCCUGCAGCUGCUCCUGGAACCGUGAGAACUUGCUCUGUGGUUGAGGUCGUCAGUAUAUUGGGAUCAACAUCCUCAUCACCAUCAUCUUCAUCACCUUCGCCAUCAUCAUCUUCAUCGCCAUCAACACCUAGCGUGUGUACAGUAAGGCGCAAAGGAAAAACAGUGGAAGGAAGGAAGACAGAAAUCCUUGCAAAGAAAAGGAUAAAGAUGGACGAUUAUGAAUUGGACAUGCUAAGGACUAAUCACAGGAUGGGGUAAUCUUUAAGUUACCUAUGUAAUGACAAAGCAACCAAACAAAACCAGGACAAGUUAGUGAGAUUGUUGUAGCUGGUCACCAUGCCCAGCAGAGGACAUUUUGCCGACUUGCUGUUUUCCUGUCUCCUGCCUUCACUGUUCCUACUCAGGGAGGCUGGAGGCCUUGCCUUUCUUUCCUCUCCUGGUGGAAGUCUGGUGAGUUCCCACGUCUGUUUCGUAGCCCUGCCUGUUGCAAGUCCUCAGGUCAAAAUACAAAACACUAUAUUGAGAUUAGUCAGGAGAGUUGUGCAUACAAAGCCUUCACUUGGAUUUUACUGAUUGAAUGUAAUUAUAUAUAAUUAAGCUAAAAAUAAAGGAUUUUUCUUUCCUUUGAA